rnacentral:lncRNA from 1 species
CAGGAAGGCUCCAAGUCAAACAAACGGAUGCCCACAGGGAAGUGGUCUUGGGAAACCUGAAGACACUGGGAUAUUCAGAAGGCCAAGGGGAUCCAGCUUAUCCUGUUGGGCAAGGUGCUGGGAGUGAAGGCAGGUAAGCCAUGUCAAGGGCCUGGGAAGCAAGGGGAAAACUGGAAGGGGUACCCCAGGUGAAGAAGGGUAUGGAAUGGGGUGCAGAAGUCCAUGGAGAUGACCGGCAGAUCUCAGGGCGGUUUCUGGCACAUCAGAAGUUGGGCUUAUGCUUCUUGAGCUCCACCAUAAGGUGGUGAAUGUUGAUGAGCUCAGCCCGGGCAGGGAGGGCUCGGAGCUGCGGCUGGGACAGCACCCGGUGGAAGCGAUGAUAGAGCUGGAUCAGCUGGGUCAGCGCUCCCUGGUCAAAGAAAGUCAU